rnacentral:lncRNA from 1 species
CACAGGGGCUUGUUACAAUUGCCGGGUUUACUAUCCAUACGAACCCCUAAAAAAACACAAGGGAGGAAGCUCAUUUGCGACAAUGCUUCAAAUUAUUGCUGUAAAAUUUUUCUAAGACUUUCACUUACUUUGUGACCUGGAUAAAUCUGUUCCCACUUGAAUUAUCUCUUCAAUGACAUAUAUCUAUUACCUUAAGUAACCUCUAUAACUAUUGUAAUCCUUAAAACAAACUCGACA